AUGAUACACUCUGUUUCAAGCAUUAUGCUACUCCCUCUUCAGUUGCCACCCUCCGAAAUGUCUACAGUGUUCUGGCCAAGCUCUACGAUCCCUUAGGAUUCAUCCUGCCAUUUACCACUAGAUGUAAGGUGCUUAUCCAAGACAUGUGGAAGGCCAACAUUGGCUGGGAUGAUCAGAUCCAGUCCGUGGAAAUACUUGACAAAUGGCGGAGCUGGGUAGAGGAGAUUCCUGCUCUACAACACAUUAAAUUGCCACGUUCCUAUGCAGACUCUACCGCUGACACUGCCACUUCAACCAGACACAUUCACAUCUUCUGCGAUGCCUCAGAGCGUGCCUAUGGGUCAGUAGUGUACAUGCAGACGGUAGAUGACAAUCAGCACCUCCAUGUGUCCUUUGUUUUUGCCAGAUCCCGGGUGGCACCCAGAAAGCAGCUAUCUAUUCCGCGCCUUGAACUCAGCGCCGCACUUACAGGCGCACAGCUUGCCAAAUUGAUUGGGAUUGAGCUUGAUAUACUUCCCGAGCACAUCAGACUCUGGUCAGACUCCACGACCGUGCUACACUGGAUUAAAUCAGAAUCCUGCCGUUUUAAAGUGUUUGUGGGGACCCGCAUCACAGAAAUCCAGAACUUGACAGACCCUGCUCAGUGGCGCUAUGUCGAUUCUUUGAACAAUCCAGCAGACGAUAUCACACGGGGACUCACCCUGCAAGAGAUAAUCCAAGGACAUCGCUGGAACAAAGGCCCACAUUUUCUUUGCCUGCCCGAGACAGAGUGGCCAACUAUACCUUCAUUGGAACUGGAACCAGAUGCCACAGAGCUGAGGAAAUCUGCCUUUGUUGGAACCGUUUCCACUACUUCACUCAUGCAACUUCCUGACCCCAGGAAGUGCUCCACUUGGAAGCAGCUUCUUCAGGAGACAGCUAGCUCCCUUCACGGGGCGGCUGACGCCAGUAUCACAUCCUCACAUUCAGCUGUUGACUUCCUGCAGGCGGAGAAGCUUAUGCUGCAACGAGUCCAAGAAGAGUGUUUUCCUGAGGAGUUAAGAGCUCUAAGAGCCGGACAUUCUCUGCCCUCAAAUAGCCGCCUUGCAUCACUUUCGCCAGAAUAUGAAGAAGUCACAGGGCUGCUCAGAGUUGGCGGAAGGUUGCGACAUGCAGAAGGCAUCGAUCUGGGUACGAUUCACCCUAUCAUCUUGGACCCAAGGCAUCACGUGACAAAGCUUGUAAUUAAGGAGACUGAUGAAACAUUGCUACACCCUGGGCCGGAAAGAGUUCUCGCUGAAAUCAGGCGCAGAUUUUGGAUUAUACGAGGCAGAGAGGCAGUGCGGAAGCAUCAGAAUACAUGUCUGGAGUGCCGACGAUGGAAAGGCAAACCUGACUUUCCCAAGAUGGCUGAUUACCCACCUGCCCGACUACGAAUACACAAACCACCUUUCUAUUCAACCGGCGUUGAUUGCUUUGGCCCCUUCCAAGUGAAAAUUGGGCGCCGCAGGGAGAAAAGAUGGGGAAUUAUCUACAAAUGUAUGACAACUCGUUCAGUGCACUUGGAAUUACUGGAGAGCCUUGAUACAGACGCCUUUCUGUUGUCUCUACGAAGAUUCAUUUCGCGACGAGGCAAACCCUUUGAACUUCUCAUGGACAAUGGGACUAACUUUGUUGGAGGGGAACGUGAAUUACGUGAAGCAUUCGCUUCAAUGACAACUCACUUGAGAGAGCAACUAGCGGCGCACCAGAUUUCAUUUCGAUUCAAUCCUCCAAGCGCGCCGCACUUUGGGGGCACAUGGGAGAGGGAAGUGAAAUCCAUUAAAACGGCCCUCAGAGUCGUUCUAAAAGACCAGACCGUUCCUGAACCCGUCCUAUUGACGAUGCUGGUGGAGGUUGAAGGCAUAAUGAAUGCUAAACCCCUAGGUUACCUGUCUUCAGACGCCUCAGAUCCAGACCCAGUCACGCCUAACCUCCUCCUCAUGGGUCGUCACGAUUCAUCUCUACCUCAAGCCAUCUAUGACCCGAGUGAUUUAGGAAGAAGACGCUGGAGGCACAGCCAAACCCUUGCAGAUCGCUUUUGGUCAUCUUUCAUCCGGCAUUACCUGCCAGGGCUGCAGGAGCGUAGCAAGUGGAGGAACGAGGGCAAGACACUCUUGGUUGGUCAAGUCGUCCUGAUAAUGGAUCCUCAACUCCCCCGAUCAUCGUGGCCUGUGGGAAGGAUUAUUCAAACCCAUCCCGGAGCUGAUGGACGCAUCCGCACGGCCAGUGUUCAAGUGGGAAAUCGCACCUAUUGUCGUCCAGUGGCUCGCCUCAUUCUGCUCCCGCCUCUUGAAGAAACGUCUGAUGACGACACCAGCACAUAGACUUUCUCACUGCUUUCAACUACCUUACGGACAGUUGGGGGCGGCUGUGUCUGAAAGUCUGUUUGUGUAACUUUGAUGUCUGUUAUAAGUAGAACAUUUGUAGCCUUUUCUGUGAUGUCCAAGUGUCCAUGAACGCAGCAGCAACUUGUUCCUGGAAGGUACGUGAUGCACUUGAAUGCAACCUUCUUACAAAAGGAACUAGCUGAGCACUGGUAGCAGUUUGCUAGUAUGAGCUUGCUUCCCAUGUGGGGUAUGAAGUGUCCAUCCUUGGUGUGCGUUGUAUGACUCAACAAGGACAGCCAAUGGAUACUUGUCUUUCUGAGGAGUUGUCAACAUUGAUGCCAACCGCCAUAAUACAGAUGAAGAAGACAUUUGUAGACGGUCCCUGCGCUCCGGUGUCGCUGCCGGCUUCUCCGAGAGAUCAAUAGAAGUCAGACUGCACAGAACACGGCUCGUUUUGAUCAAAAGUGGCUUGUAGCUGUUUGUGUUGCCACAGUUGGAAAGAGGCAAGGACAACUCCAGCUCUGAUGACGACGUUCCUCUCUCGGAGCUCGUCGUGAGGCGCCCCACAAAGGCAAAGCCGUCUCCAGACAACGCUCACAGCUCUAAAGAAGAUUCAAAAGAGGACAGAAGUGACGACGAGCCGCUGAUUAA